rnacentral:rRNA from 1 species
GACGAACGCUGGCGGCGUGCUUAACACAUGCAAGUCGAGCGGUAAGGCCCUUUCGGGGGUACACGAGCGGCGAACGGGCGAGUAACACGUGGGUGACCUGCCCUCAGCUCUGGGAUAAGCCUGGGAAACUGGGUCUAAUACUGGAUAUGACUCCACGGUGCAUGUCGUGGGGUGGAAAGCCUUGUGCGGCUGAGGAUGGGCCCGCGGCCUAUCAGCUUGUUGGUGGGGUGANGGCCUACCAAGGCGACGACGGGUAGCCGGCCUGAGAGGGCGACCGGCCACACUGGGACUGAGACACGGCCCAGACUCCUACGGGAGGCAGCAGUGGGGAAUCUUGCGCAAUGGGCGAAAGCCUGACGCAGCGACGCCGCGUGAGGGAUGACGGCCU